rnacentral:tRNA from 1 species
UCCUUGGCAGUCCAGUGGUUAAGACUGUGCUUUCAAUGCAUAGGGCACAGGUUCGAUCCCUGGCCGGGGAA